rnacentral:rRNA from 1 species
CUUUGCAUUGGACUUUGACGGGACUUGUGUAGGAUAGGUGGGAGGACUUUGAAACCGGGACGCCAGUUACCGGUGGAGCCAACCUUGAAAUACCACCCUGGUGUCGUCGAGGUUCUAACCCAGGCCUGUGAAUCCAGGUCGGGGACCGUGCAUGGUGGGCAGUUUGACUGGGGCGGUCUCCGUCCCAAAAGGUAACGGAGGAGUACGAAGGUCACCUAGGUACGGUCGGACAUCGUACUGAUAGUGCAAUGGCAAAAGGUGGCUUGACUGCGAGACCCACAAGUCGAGCAGGUGCGAAAGCAGGUCAUAGUGAUCCGGUGGUUCUGUAUGGAAGGGCCAUCGCUCAACGGAUAAAAGGUACUCUGGGGAUAACAGGCUGAUUCCGCCCAAGAGUUCACAUCGACGGCGGAGUUUGGCACCUCGAUGUCGGCUCAUCACAUCCUGGGGCUGUAGCCGGUCCCAAGGGUAUGGCUGUUCGCCAUUUAAAGUGGUACGUGAGCUGGGUUUAAAACGUCGUGAGACAGUUUGGUCCCUAUCUGCCGUGGGC